rnacentral:rRNA from 1 species
UACAGAGGGUGCGAGCGUUGUUCGGAAUUAUUGGGCGUAAAGGGCGCGUAGGCGGUGCGGUAAGUCACCUGUGAAACCUCUGGGCUUAACUCAGAGCCUGCAGGCGAAACUACCGUGCUGGAGUGUGGGAGAGGUGCGUGGAAUUCCCGGUGUAGCGGUGAAAUGCGUAGAUAUCAGGAGGAACACCAGUGGCGAAGGCGGCUCACUGGACCGGUACUGACGCUGAUGCGCGAAAGCGUGGGGAGCAAACGGG